UACGUAGGGGGCUAGCGUUGUCCGGAAUCAUUGGGCGUAAAGAGCGUGUAGGCGGCCCGGUAAGUCCGCUGUGAAAGUCGGGGGCUCAACCCUCGAAAGCCGGUGGAUACUGCCGGACUAGAGUUCGGAAGAGGCGAGUGGAAUUCCCGGUGUAGCGGUGAAAUGCGCAGAUAUCGGGAGGAACACCUAUGGCGAAGGCAGCUCGCUGGGACGUUACUGACGCUGAGACGCGAAAGCGUGGGGAGCAAACAGG
rnacentral:rRNA from 1 species